AGGACGAACGCUGGCGGCGUGCUUAACACAUGCAAGUGGAGCGACGAACCAGGGCUUGCCCUGGGGCAGAGCCGCGAACGGGUGAGUAACACGUGGGUUACCUGCCUCGAUGACCGGGACAACCCGAGGAAACUCGGGCUAAUACCGGAUGUGCCCGCAAGGGGGAAAGGAAGCUUCGGCCUCCGCAUCGAGAUGGGCCCGCGGCCCAUUAGCUUGUUGGUGAGGUAACGGCUCACCAAGGCUUCGAUGGGUAGCUGGUCUGAGAGGACGAUCAGCCACACUGGGACUGAGACACGGCCCAGACUCCUACGGGAGGCAGCAGUGGGGAAUCUUGCGCAAUGCGCGAAAGCGUGACGCAGCAACGCCGCGUGGGGGAAGAAGGCUUUCGGGUUGUAAACCCCGUUUCAGUUGGGACGAAGCUUCUCCGGUGAAUAGCCGGACGGAGUGACGGUACCUUCACAAGAAGCACCGGCUAACUACGCGCCAGCAGCCGCGGU
rnacentral:rRNA from 1 species